CCUACGUGAGGCAGCAGUGGGGGAUAUUGCACAAUGUGGGAAACCCUGAUGCAGCGACGCCGCGUGGGCGAAGAAGUAUUUCGGUAUGUAAAGCCCUAUCAGCAGGGAAGAAGAAGUGACGGUACCUAAGUAAGAAGCACCUGCUAAAUACGUGACAGCAGCCGCGGUAAUACGGAGGGUGCAGGCGUUAUUCGGAAUUACUGGGUGUAAAGGGAGCGCAGGCGGUACAGCAAGCCUGAUGUGAACUCCCGGGGCCUAACCGCGGGAAUGCAUCGGGAACUAACGGGCUAGAGUGGCGGAGAGGUAGGCGGAAUUCCGAGUGUAGCGGUGAAAUGCGUAGAUAUUAGGAGGAACACCAGUGGCGAAGGCGGCCCACUGGACGGUGACUGACGCUGAGGCGCGAAAGCGUGGGGAGCAAACAGGAUUAGAUACCCUAGUAGUC
rnacentral:rRNA from 1 species